AAUUUAUAUAAUAUAAAAAUUAUAAUUGACUUCCAAUCAAUAAAUCUAAAAAUAUUUAGUAUAAAU
rnacentral:tRNA from 1 species